UAGACCGCCUGGGGAGUACGGCCGCAAGGUUAAAACUCAAAUGAAUUGACGGGGGCCCGCACAAGCGGUGGAGCAUGUGGUUUAAUUCGAUGCAACGCGAAGAACCUUACCUGGUCUUGACAUCCACAGAAGUUUCCAGAGAUGGAUUGGUGCCUUCGGGAACUGUGAGACAGGUGCUGCAUGGCUGUCGUCAGCUCGUGUUGUGAAAUGUUGGGUUAAGUCCCGCAACGAGCGCAACCCUUAUCCUUUGUUGCCAGCGAUUAGGUCGGGAACUCAAAGGAGACUGCCAGUGAUAAACUGGAGGAAGGUGGGGAUGACGUCAAGUCAUCAUGGCCCUUACGACCAGGGCUACACACGUGCUACAAUGGCGCAUACAAAGAGAAGCGACCUCGCGAGAGCAAGCGGACCUCAUAAAGUGCGUCGUAGUCCGGAUUGGAGUCUGCAACUCGACUCCAUGAAGUCGGAAUCGCUAGUAAUCGUGGAUCAGAAUGCCACGGUGAAUACGUUCCCGGGCCUUGUACACACCGCCCGUCACACCAUGGGAGUGGGUUGCAAAAGAAGUAGGUAGCUUAACCUUCGGGAGGGCGCUUACCACUUUGUGAUUCAUGACUGGGGUGAAGUCGUAACAAGGUAACCGUAGGGGAACCUGCGGUUGGAUCACCUCCUUACCUUAAAGAAGC
rnacentral:rRNA from 2 species